GGCGGCGUGCUUAACACAUGCAAGUCGAACGAUGAAGCCCUUCGGGGUGGAUUAGUGGCGAACGGGUGAGUAACACGUGGGCAAUCUGCCCUGCACUCUGGGACAAGCCCUGGAAACGGGGUCUAAUACCGGAUAUGACCAUCUUGGGCAUCCUUGAUGGUGUAAAGCUCCGGCGGUGCAGGAUGAGCCCGCGGCCUAUCAGCUUGUUGGUGAGGUAAUGGCUCACCAAGGCGACGACGGGUAGCCGGCCUGAGAGGGCGACCGGCCACACUGGGACUGAGACACGGCCCAGACUCCUACGGGAGGCAGCAGUGGGGAAUAUUGCACAAUGGGCGAAAGCCUGAUGCAGCGACGCCGCGUGAGGGAUGACGGCCUUCGGGUUGUAAACCUCUUUCAGCAGGGAAGAAGCGAAAGUGACGGUACCUGCAGAAGAAGCGCCGGCUAACUACGUGCCAGCAGCCGCGGUAAUACGUAGGGCGCAAGCGUUGUCCGGAAUUAUUGGGCGUAAAGAGCUCGUAGGCGGCUUGUCACGUCGAUUGUGAAAGCUCGGGGCUUAACCCCGAGUCUGCAGUCGAUACGGGCUAGCUAGAGUGUGGUAGGGGAGAUCGGAAUUCCUGGUGUAGCGGUGAAAUGCGCAGAUAUCAGGAGGAACACCGGUGGCGAAGGCGGAUCUCUGG
rnacentral:rRNA from 1 species